rnacentral:rRNA from 1 species
UACGUAGGGCGCAAGCGUUGUCCGGAAUUAUUGGGCGUAAAGCGUGCGCAGGCGGCGCGUUAAGACAGGUGUGAAAGCCCCGAGCUUAACUUGGGAAUUGCGCUUGUGACUGGCGAGCUGGAGUGUGGCAGAGGGAGGUGGAAUUCCACGUGUAGCAGUGAAAUGCGUAGAGAUGUGGAGGAACACCGAUGGCGAAGGCAGCCUCCUGGGCCAGCACUGACGCUCAUGCACGAAAGCGUGGGGAGCAAACAGG